ACAUGUCUACAACAUAGUGUUAAUGCACCAAGUCCCAUUAGAACUCAAUGGUUAAGCGUGCUCAGGUUAGAGUAGUACUGGGAUGGGUGACUGCAUGGGAAUUCCUAGUGUUUUACAUGCC
rfam:Picea glauca, whole genome shotgun sequence.